rnacentral:rRNA from 1 species
GACGAACGCUGGCGGCGUGCCUAAUACAUGCAAGUUGAGCGCUGAAGGAUGGUACUUGUACCAACUGGAUGAGCAGCGAACGGGUGAGUAACGCGUGGGGAAUCUGCCUUUGAGCGGGGGACAACAUUGGGAAACGAAUGCUAAUACCGCAUAAAAACUUUAAACACAAGUUUUAAGUUUGAAAGAUGCAAUUGCCUCACUCAAAGAUGAUCCCGCGUUGUAUUAGCUAGUUGGUGAGGUAAAGGCCCACCAAGGCGAUGAUACAUAGCCGACCUGAGAGGGUGAUCCACCCACUUGGGAAUGGGAAAAGGCCCAAACCUCUACGGGAGGCAGCAGGAGGGAAUCUUCGGACAUGGACGACAGUCUGACCGAGCAACGCCGCGUGAGUGAAGAAAGGUUUCGGAUCGUAAAAGUCCGUUGGUAGGGAAGAACGUUGGUGAGAGUGGAAAGCUCAUCAAGUGACGGUAACUACCCAGAAAGGGACGGCUAACUACGUG